CCCAUCCCGCACGACCCAAAUCCCAGCCGCCCCGCCUCCUCCUCCCGCCCGGCGCCGGCCCACCUCCUCCUCCUCCGGCCAGGUGCUGCCCCGCCUCCUCCUCCCGCUCGGCGCCGCCCCACCUCCUCCUCCUCCCCGCCAUAGGCUUCCCCUGUUGUGCUCCCCACAUCUUUCUCGCGCGCCUCCGACCCGCAGCCUCGCCCCACUCCAGCCAUGGCCACGGCCCCGCCACGCGCUCGCCGGCGUCAACGGCCCCUGCCCCGCCGUGACUCCCUUCUGCUGCUUCCACCUUCUCCUUCUGGCACCACUGAAAAGACUCCUCCUCGUGCCGCCACACCAGCUCCCGCCCCCUGCCCAGCCACCUACCCCGGCCCUGAGACCGCCGGAUCCAGCGGGAUCCUCCUUCCGUGCCUGCCCUGCGACGCGCGCAUCCUAAAACAGAGGCGAGGCGCCCGCGCUAGGGAGCAGGCAGGUUUCCUCGAUGCGACGGCGCGGGCCGUGUUCCUCCUCGAGCUCAGCCUGGCCUACGGCGCCGGCCAAACCUCCCCUGACCCCGGAUCCAAAUCGUUCGACUGGGAUCCGGUGGUGGGAGGCUAGAUCGAUGCGGUGGGGGCUGGCUUCCCACGACAGUUGACCGCUACAGCCACCGCUCCGCUACCUAACUGCGUCGAUAAGCACCACGACGGCAGGAUCUCGUCGGGUCCUCCCCUCCUACGGCCUCCGAGAUUGCAGCAACGUGCCUUCGCGGCGCGCCGCCCCCAGAUCCACGCUGCUGGAUCCAGUGACCCCGGGCACGGAUCCAUGAAUCCCCUCCCCAUCGUUGCGACGGACACCACCGGAGGGCCAUCCGAUGCUGCGACUCAACGAUGGUGGCGGGCGUCGGUGCCGGCCGCCGCUCCCGAGAUCCCUCCAUCUCCAAUCCUCCCCAACCUUCUGCUCGUUUUGGGCACCUUGUGCAGUUCAGAAACGUGGGCUUGCAGUGCAGUUGGUCAUGUGUGAUGAAUAAAAACAGGUGUAUACUGAAUUUGGUGUGCUCUCAUGGGUACUGAAUUUGGUGUGUUCUCGUGUGUACUGUUUGUGUAAACAGAAUGAUGUUUCAUUAACCUCUGUAUGUAGUGCAGUUUUUUCGUGUGGAUCAAAAUUCAGUCGACUACAUCAAA